UUGUGGAGAAGGACGCCGAAGGUGGGGCUGAUGACUGGGGUGAAGUCGUAACAAGGUAGCCGUACCGGAAGGUGCGGCUGGAUCACCUCCUAACAGGGAGACAAUAAAUUGAUUGUGAUGUCUAAGUUAUUUAUUCUUAGGCCGCAAUCCUGUCACCUUAAGGUCGAUCGGUACCUCAGAUUUUUGAAUUAGUUUUAUAAUUGAUUCUUUGAUUUCAGUUCCUAAACUUGUCUAGGUCACACCCAACAAAGGUUUCUCCUGGGCCAUUAGCUCAGGUGGUUAGAGCGCACCCCUGAUAAGGGUGAGGUCCCUGGUUCAAGUCCAGGAUGGCCCAUUCGUUGUUGGGGGUAUAGCUCAGUUGGUAGAGCGCCUGCUUUGCAAGCAGGAUGUCAGCGGUUCGAGUCCGCUUACCUCCACUGAAAACUAUCCUGAUAACUAAAUUCUGGAGAAAAAAUUGUAGAUGUGGCUUAGAAUUGUCUAUUUGAAAAGAACCUAGCUUCUUGUCAUCUUUUUAUAGUUGAUAAAAUGCUGGGCUCGCAUGGAUUAUUUCCAUGAGAAUUCAGUAGAACCUUGAAAACUGCAUAGAUUAGAAAGAAUAAAGCAUCUCAUGGAUGCAUAAUUCUGUUUUUAUAAUUUAGCCUUAAAACUGAAUUAUUAAUUCUAGAGUUCAUGUUUAAUUCUUGAGUAAAAGCCGAGCACAAUUGAUUUUGUGAUUGUAUUUAAGGUCAAGCUACAA
rnacentral:misc_RNA from 1 species